AUUGAACGCUGGCGGCAUGCUUUACACAUGCAAGUCGAACGAGUGGCGGACGGGUGAGUAACGCAUCGGAACGUACCGAAUAGUGGGGGAUAACUAUCCGAAAGGGCAGCUAAUACCGCAUACUAUUCGAGCGGCCGAUGUGGGAUUAGCUAGUUGGCGGGGUAAAGGCGCACCAAGGCGACGAUCACUAGCGGGUCUGAGAGGAUGAUCCGCCACACUGGAAUUGAGACACGGCCCAGCCGCCUACGGGAGGCAGCAGUGGGGAAUUUUGGACAAUGGGCGCAAGCCUGAUCCAGCCAGGCCGCGUGUCUGAAGAAGGCCUUCGGGUUGUAAAGGACUUUUGUCAGGGAAGCGGUACCUGAAGAAUAAGCACCGGCUAACUACGUGCCAGCAGCCGCGGUAAUAC
rnacentral:rRNA from 1 species